rnacentral:rRNA from 1 species
UACGGAGGGGGCUAGCGUUGUUCGGAAUUACUGGGCGUAAAGCGCACGUAGGCGGCUUUGUAAGUUAGAGGUGAAAGCCCGGGGCUCAACCCCGGAAUUGCCUUUAAGACUGCAUCGCUAGAAUUGUGGAGAGGUAAGUGGAAUUCCGAGUGUAGAGGUGAAAUUCGUAGAUAUUGGAGGAACACCAGUGUCGAAGGCGGCUCACUGGUCCAUUACUGACGCUGAGGUG